CGACGUGGAACCGUGGCACUGG
rnacentral:miRNA from 1 species